rnacentral:rRNA from 1 species
UUCAACGGCCGCGGUAUCCUAACCGUGCAAAGGUAGCGUAAUCACUUGUUCUUUAAAUAAGGACCUGUAUGAACGGCUAAAUGAGGGUUUAUCUGUCUCCUUUAAUUAAUCAGUGAAACUGAUCUGCCAGYACAAAAGCUGGCAUACCCCCAUAAGACGAGAAGACCCUGUGGAGCUUUAAAUUUAAGCCAAAACAACCAAACACAAACACACUAAUGGCCUAAAAUUUUUAGUUGGGGCGACUUCGGAAAAAAACAAAACUUCCGAGCAUAUAGAGAGUAUCUUACCAAGACUUACAAGUCAAAGCAAAACUUGACCCAGUAUAACUGACCACCGAACCAAGUUACCCCAGGGAUAACAGCGCAAUCUUCUUCAAGAGUCCCUAUCGACAAGAAGGUUUACGACCUCGAUGUUGGAUCAGGACACCCAAAUGGUGCAGCCGCUAUUAAAGGUUC